CAGAUAUGGCAGGAGUAUGGAGAAACCCUAACUAGAGAACGAAAAGAAGGUGCUGCUAAAUUUGAAGCUGAAUCCUACAGAGUUUGUCCUGUAGGAUCUGUAGGAUCAGUUAGUCAAGUUCAUGUCAAGAUUUACUUUUGAAAGCACAAAAAGAGUAUAAAGAGAUUUUGCUGAAACAUUACAUGACCUGAAACAUAAACAGUAAAAAAUUAUUUACUGUACUGUUUACAUAACAUUUUGUUUUCCAUUAGACACAUGACAUGAACUUUUUAUUAAAGAAAAAAUUUUUUGAUCAUA